rnacentral:rRNA from 1 species
GAUGAACGCUAGCUACAGGCUUAACACAUGCAAGUCGAGGGGCAGCAUGGGGUUUGCUUGCAAACCCUGAUGGCGACCGGCGCACGGGUGCGUAACACGUAUCCAAUCUACCCAUGGCUCAGGGAUAGCCUUUCGAAAGAAAGAUUAAUACCUGAUGGUCUUACAUGGAGACAUCUCUUUGUAAGUAAAGAUUUAUCGGCGAUGGAUGAGGAUGCGUCUGAUUAGAUAGUAGGCGGGGUAACGGCCCACCUAGUCGACGAUCAGUAGGGGUUCUGAGAGGAAGGUCCCCCACAUUGGAACUGAGACACGGUCCAAACUCC